UAGAUGAAGGGACGAUCAUUCUAUCUGGUUGUGCGCCUGACAGCGUAUCAACCAGCCAUCGCAGUCUACAUUUAGAUCAUAGCUACCAUCGUGUUGUCCCAGGUGUGAACACCCUUGCCUGAUCCAAUAUUCUUGUCGUGUUGGACUGGUCGUUUACGGCCUCCACAUGGAGAAGCACUUGUGGAACCUUAUAUGGACCAAGCAGGUAUUACUGUCAGCAUGCAACAGCUUCGGACCAUUGCUAAUAAUGUCUUCUUGUCCCUUUUAUUUGAAUUGUCGUAAGCCUUAUCAGCUGGUCAUGGCAUGUGCUGCUCUUGUACUACUGGAUAAUGAAUCAUAGCUCGGAAUAAGAACACGUUUGCAAGCGAAUCUCGAACUGAAUUCCCCAUGAUCUAAUCUGUUCAGCUGAUGGUGACGUGGAUCUGUGCAGCGCACGCGUCUGUGUAUCGUAUCGCGUGCCUGUUCCUGAUUUGGAUUUGGUUUUUGCCAGCUUAUGAUGUUAUCUGAACUAUCAUCUGUACCAUGAACCCUGUGUUUCCUGGUAUGGUCUGCACUUUUUACUGUAUGUACGCCUGUCAUCUGUUGUUACUAUCAUCGGUACACCUGUGAUCCUUGGCGUUGUUCCUCGCCACUGCUAUCUACCUAUGAUUACUGAUGAUCUGAGGAUACCGGUUACCGACAUGGUGUCCUCUUCUAGCUGUGCAUUCCAGUCAGUCAGUGGCAUUGACUGUGCCGUCCAUGAACCAUAAGCUGCUUGCCUGAUAGAGAGAGCGACCGCAAUACUGAUGCGUCCAUCAGAACCCUGGAAACUUGCCUGCCCUCGCCGGCCAACGACCACCUGCAUCGUCAACCACGCCGGUGCCGACGCCGCUCCGUGCUCUCGUGGCAUCAUAAUAUCUGCUCUACCUGUAGAGGGCAUCGUCUACUCUAUGUGUGGCGGCUGUUAAUCUCCGUUCCAAAGUUUUAGGGGGAAAUCCUCCAGGGAGCGGCCGCGGCUACAUGAUCUGUCGUCGCCGUCGGCAUGUCGUGGUGUCGUGCGUCACGUUGGGAGGAUCGCGUUGAGCUCGAGAGCCUUUUACUGCGUGGGCAAUGGCAGCCUCAGGGGCUCCUUUCAGAUGGAGGAGAUGGUGAGAGGUGCCCUGGGACGCAGGGAAGCCGCCGCGUCGCGCCACGUUGGCAGCCUCCUUGCGGUUUAUCCAGGCUAUCUGUCUAAUCUAAUCCAAUCUAUCCGUUUAUUGUGUGUGCGCGCGCGUAUCCGCUGUCUGGAUUAAAUGGACUUGAAUGUGCCAACAGUGAGUCAAUGACUUCAACCAAACUCAAAUGUUUCUUCCCCGCAGAAAAAUAAAAAAGAAAGAAAAAGAAACUCAAACGUUUCUUUUCAAUUUCUUGAAUAAAAGGUCUUUUCUUGUGCCACAGGCCCACAGCAACGGGUAGGUGGUAAUGGACACAGCUCGAUUAUGGGCCCAGCCGAUUGUGUUCCUAAAUACACUUUUUGUCCAAAAUUAUACUAUACGUGUUCGACUUUUGGAGUCUUGAAUGUGCGACAUUGACUAAUUUUUACUUGCAGUAUACCUUAAAAUAGUAAAGUUAUAUAUAGUAUAACACAAAAUAACCGAAAGACAAAUAAUAUUGUACUCCAGCUUAUACAAAUAGUAAAGUUAUAUAUUAUAAUUAAAGUUAGUACAAAGUUGAGUCAUUUAUUUUGGAACGGAUGGAGUAUUACUAUAUGAUCCUCAGUUUAUACAAUUCUACGCAUGGCAGUGAUACAAGUUUACCACAUGUUUAAUAAUGUGCCCAUUUUUAGUUAUAUUUCCGCAAGAAGAGAGUAUUUUGUCAAUCAUGAUAAUUGACUACGUAGUAAUUGACAUAACAGAAACACGGACCGGAAGAACCCUUCGCUCCUCCUGCCCACGCCCAACUCCCAUCUAGGGUUUCCUUGCCUCUCGCCGGCGCCGCCGGUCCGCCUUAUCUUCUAUGGUCCUCGGAUCAUGGAGGCACGGUGGAUCCCGGCCCUUGCCGGCGGGAGGGCUCCGUUUUUAGAUGCUUUUCUGAGUUUUGUUAGGGUUUGUGCCAUGCUCAAGAAGAUGAGGCGGUGGCGGCUUCUUGAAGAUGGAAUAAGGUCCUCCCCGCCUAGCCCCCGUCCUGGUGAUGUUUCAAGCAUCGUCGGAAGGCGUGUGGAGGUUUGUCUCCGGCGGAUCUCAUGGGAUCCGGUCGGCGUUUGUCUUCGGUGGAUCCGACUGGAUCCGGUCUUCGCUCGUCUACGUCUGUGUGUCUGCAGGUUGGAUCCUUCCGGUCUAUGCUUCUCUUCAUCGGCGGCGGUUGCUGUUCUGGUGCGCUGGUCCCAUGGGGCCUUAGCACGACGACUUCCCUACUGUCUACUACAACAAUGUUUGCCCGGCUCCGACGAGGGAGGGGCGAUGACGGCGGCGCGCCUUCGGCUCGCUCCAGAGAUUGUAGUCGUCGCUAGGUGGUCUACAGACCUGGAUGUAAUUUUUACUUCUAGUGUUUUUUGUACUACCUUGACAGUUGAUGAAUAGAUCGGAAGUUUUCGCGCAAAAAAAAAGACUACGUAGUAAUUGAAUGAUCUCACAUUUUACCCCAACCUCAGUAUUUUGGGAGAAUUUAAAUAUAGUGGCAUGCCAGACAUGUAUGGUUAUUUAUGUUAUUUUUAAAUUUAAGGUUGUCCUGUUAAAUCUUAGUUACGCAAUUGUUCUUCGGGCACAUAAAUUCAGUUCACCGCCACAUGCCAUCCUUGUCAAAGUUCUGUCACACAUAGAGGUCCUUGGAAAAAAAUGUAGUGUUUUUUUGCCACACUGUUUUUGGUCAUCUACAAUUUGCCUAAAGUUAAUCAUAAUAAUGUCAGGCAUCAACCAAGCAAUCUACAUUUCAUUUGUCGGUCUACAUUAUCGUCUAUACCCUCCCAUUCCAAAAAUAUAGUGCAUUUUUUUAAAGUCAACUUCAUAAGGUUUAACCAUAUUUAUAGAGAAAGUUAUCACCAUCAAUAAUACUCCCUCCAAUUCAAAAUAAGCGUCGCAAUUUUGAACUGGAUUUAGUUCAAAACCGCGACAUUUAUUAUGGACCAGAGGUAGUACUAAAUUAGUUAAACCUAACAAAGCUUGACUUUUGAAAAUAAUAAUAUUUGAGCUAUAUUUUGGAAUAAUCCUAAAGCAACUAAACAUAGUUAGUGAACAAGCAACACCUCCUUUUCUCUCAGCUCUCCCAUCAGUUGAGAAUCUCUCAUUGUUCCCUAGUUCUUCUCCCCUUCUCAUCUGGCGGCCGACCAGAGUGGGGGUGGGAGAGGAGGCCAAGCUACCGCCAUAUAUGCUAGGGGUUUGCCUCUAUGCAUGGAGACUUGCGCCGUGCCGUUUUGGAGAUUCUUUGUAGUGUGCACAAUGUUUGGUGGCCGCCUGGUCUUCUCCGGCAGUUAUCCAUGGUGGACUGCGAUUGCUGGGGGUGGAUCUAGUGGGAGCUUCUUCAAUAAGGUUGGCAGUUUGCUAGAACAUGCUGAUCCAAUUUUCGCUCGUCUCCUACUUCACCGUCAUAGAGAUGGAAGGAAAGAUGGAUGUGGAUCAACGCUCAUUCCCCUCAGAUCCAUUGUAUUGUGGGGGUAAUAAAGUUGGCUUGGAUGUUAUUCAUCUUUUUUUGGCCACUAGAUCGACAUAUGUCUACAUGAGUACACUAUGGUUGAUCGCUGACUGGCUGACGUCAAUCCCAUUGGUUGCCAUUUCCAUCCUCCAAAUCAAGGAGGCCCUCUUCCCCUUGCCUACAAUUUUCAAGUUAUGGUCGGAGAUAGUGGCCUAAAUGUCUCUGCGUGGUCGCUGUUUGAUUUGGGACCAAAUUGUGUUCUUUGUAUCUCCUGUUUGCCCAAUGAAAGGACCUGACUGUAAUUUCUAUUUUCUAGGGGCCCCUUUUGUGCAUUGAUGUAAAAAUAAGGUAGUAGUAAUGCCAGCCUAUAGAUGAACAACCAUACUGAAUUGUUGUUUCCUGAGGUCGGAAGAGGUUAGAAGAAGAGAGAGGGAGGGGGGGGGGGACAAAUCUGAUGUGUAAGAUGAGAUGGCAAUAACCAACAACCAUCAUUGGUGGUACCUAGAUACGAUGGACCCUUGGGUUCAUUCUGAUAAAAUAUUGGGAUAUCUCUGCAAAUAUGAUGAUAGUGGUUUGGAUAGAAAUAACUUAUAUACGAUGGAUCACGGGUUAACUUUGAUAAAACAGAAGAUUACUUAAAUAAUACAUCUCCCAGAUGUAGUUAUGUGUUUAAAUAUACGUGAGGUGAAUCCUCCGGCUAAGUAGUCGUGCAUUGCAGUAGGAACCCCUAAUUCUCUCGCAAAUACAACUCCCUUGAUCAUUUCUCACAUAUACCCGUGGUCACAUUCAAGGAACGCCCCUUGGUUUCCCCGAUUUUGGCCUGUGAUUUAUAAAUCGCCUUGGCACAAAAAACAAAACGAUAUCUAGUAUAAUGAUCAAAUAUGAGAAUAUUACGCCAAAAAAUAAAUACAUUUUUCACACUUGGUCCCAUUUUUCAAUGAGCUUGUUGAAAAAAGAUUUGGAAUCAAAUGGCAAGCACUAGCCAAUCGAAAUAGCUUACCAACUUUUUAUUUG
rnacentral:lncRNA from 1 species